rnacentral:pre_miRNA from 1 species
UUGAUACUCUCUCCGCCCGAAAAAGCUUGUCCUUCAAAUGGGUGUAUCUAACACCAAGUUAGUGCUAAAUACAUUGAUUUGAUAAACAAGUUUGGGACAAGUUUUCUCGGAUGGAGUGAGUAUUUU